rnacentral:rRNA from 1 species
AAUGAACGUUGGCGGCGUGGAUUAGGCAUGCAAGUCGAGCGAGAAGUUUCUUUAUGCUUGCAUAAAGAAACGGACAGCGGCGAAAGGGAGAGUAACGCGUAGAUACCUACCCCAGGAUUCGGGAUAGCGGGGGGAAACCGCCGGUAAUACCGAAUAAUGUCCCCGGACCAAAGAUUUAUCGUCCUGGGAGGGGUCUGCGUCCUACUAGCUUGUUGGUGGGGUAAAAGCCUACCAAGGCUAAGAUGGGUAGCGGGUGUGAGAGCAUGGCCCGUCUCACUGGGACUGAGACACUGCCCAGACACCUACGGGUGGCUGCAGUCGAGAAUCUUCCGCAAUGGACGAAAGUCUGACGGAGCGACGCCGCGUGCGGGAUGAAGGCCUUCGGGUUGUAAACCGCUGUCGGAGGGAAGGAAAUGGAAACUUGACCGAACCUCGGAGGAAGCGCAGGCUAAGUUCG